ensembl:lncRNA
UGAGACUUGUGAUGCCAUUUGUAUACUGUUGUUGUUCUCUCGUUGGUCUGAUUGCUUCUAUUGUUCUCAUUUGUAAGACGCUUUGGAUAAAAGCAUCUGCUAAAUGAUUAAAUGUAAAUGUAAAUCUAUUUAAUAUUUUCUCUUGCCUUUAUUUUGAAUUUUCUUCAGAACGUGAUCAACUAAAGGAGGAGAAGAACAGAAUUCUACAAGAACUUAAUAAACAGAAGGAUGAGAACAAAAGAAUUCAACAAGAAAACAAUGCACGUUUACAGAAUGAGAACCAGAAAAUAAAACGAGAACGUGAUGAACUACAGAAGGAGAAGAACAGAAUUCAACAAGGUGAAUUUAUCUUUAUUA